GCCUGAAUAGCUCAGAUGGUAGAGCAGCGCAUUCGUAAUGCGAAGGUCGGGGGUUCGAUUCCCUUUUCAGGCA
rnacentral:tRNA from 2 species